GGGCCCGCACAAGCGGUGGAGCAUGUGGUUUAAUUCGAUGAUACGCGAGGAACCUUACCAGGGCUUAAAUGUAAGUUGCAUAGAUCAGAGAUGGUCUUUUCUUCGGACUACUUACAAGGUGCUGCAUGGUUGUCGUCAGCUCGUGCCGUGAGGUGUCAGGUUAAGUCCUAUAACGAGCGCAACCCCUGUCGUUAGUUACCAGCAAGUAAUGUUGGGUACUCUAGCGAGACUGCCGGUGCAAACCGUGAGGAAGGUGGGGACGACGUCAAGUCAUCAUGGCCCUUACGUGUAGGGCUACACACGUGCUACAAUGGCAGUGACAGAGGGACGCUACCAGGUGACUGGAUGCAAAUCUCAAAAAGCUGUCUCAGUUCGGAUUGUUGUCUGCAACUCGACAACAUG
rnacentral:rRNA from 1 species